rnacentral:lncRNA from 10 species
AGAGGGUGCCUGCUUCCCCUUCGCCUUCCACCAUGAUUAAACCGCAAUCAAGGAUCUUGCCUACUUUUUCACCCAUUCCCUCUGCCUCCUGAACAUCCCUGGUGCUGCUCCCCUGUGGCCACUGCUGGCAUGACAAGCUCCCACACUGGGGAUCUAAAGAAAAAGAAUGGAUUUUCCAGUCUCUUUGACCCCUGAGAUCUCAAAGCCCCUGUGAAGAUCGAUCAGUUGGCAUGGCUGGAUUCAGACUUCCCAGGCCAAGAGGACUUGAAGAAAUGAUCAGAUGAAUCUCAGAAACUCAGAGUUUGAAUAAUAGUUGUCGGUUAUUGCACACUUGCUGUGUGCCAGGCAUGGUGCUCACUGCUGCCCAUGGAUCAUUUCACCUAAUUUCAUCUACCAGCCUGAUAUCUGCACAUGUGAGAACCUGAGACGUAGGGAGUUUGCACGGCUUUAGCUUUCGCAGAAGGAGUAACACAGGGUCAUACCAACUUACUCCAGUUACCAAUUCUGUGACCUCAGGCAAGGACACAAGAAGAUGGCUGUCUACAAGCCAGGAAAAGAUUCUGCACCAGGAACUGGAUCAACUGGCACCUUGAUCUUGGACUUCCCAGCCUCCAGAACUAUGAGAUGAGAAAUAAGUGUCUAUUGUUUAAGCCUCCCAGUCUAUGGUAUUUUGUUAUAGCAACCCAAGAUGACAAAGACAACAAGCCUAAAAUGAAAAAUGGCAAAGUAACCAAGAUGUCCUUCAAGAGGGCUGUUUGUUGUCCAAAAAGCCUUUUUCCCUAAGCUUGAAAGCUUAACUUCUCAGAAGCAGGAAGCUGCCUUUUGCCAAGAGUAAAUGGGUGAGAAGUCCAAAGGUCUUGGUUUUGAAGUAUGUGCAACGAAUGUUCAAACAGGUUCUGAACAGAGCCAAAUCUACUUUUCUAUCUCCAAGAAAUCUCGAGAGAGCCAUGGGGCGGAAGUUUCAAGGAACAACGUCUCGUCCCAAACCGCAUGAAAUUGCAUUCCAAUCAGAAGCAUGGCCAAACCCACCAGAACGCAAAACGCAGGGAUGGAAGGACACUGACGACGAUGACCUUGUGAAAUGAGAGAAUUGUCUUGAAAGGGAGCGUUGUUACGGAAGAUGCUGAUUUCGGCAUUCCCUGUCUGAAGUGCUAACUAACCUCAUUGGGUUUUUGCUCUGCACCAGACAAAGUCUUACUCUGUUGCCCAGAGCAGUGGUGCAAUCUCGGCUCACUGCAACGUCCACCUCCUGGGUUCAAGCGAUUCUUGUGCCUCAGCCUCUCAAGUAGCUGGGAC